UACGGGGGGGGCAAGCGUUGUUCGGAAUUACUGGGCGUAAAGGGUGCGUAGGCGGCGGGGCAAGUCGGAUGUGAAAUCUCAGGGCUCAACCCUGAAACUGCAUUCGAUACUGCUCUGCUCGAGGACUGGAGAGGAGAUUGGAAUUCACGGUGUAGCAGUGAAAUGCGUAGAUAUCGUGAGGAAGACCAGUGGCGAAGGCGGAUCUCUGGACAGUUCCUGACGCUGAGGCACGAAGGCCAGGGGAGCAAACGGG
rnacentral:rRNA from 1 species